rnacentral:rRNA from 1 species
GUAGGUGGCAAGCGUUGUCCGGAAUUAUUGGGCGUAAAGCGCGCGCAGGCGGUCCUUUAAGUCUGAUGUGAAAGCCCACGGCUCAACCGUGGAGGGUCAUUGGAAACUGGGGGACUUGAGUACAGAAGAGGAAAGCGGAAUUCCAAGUGUAGCGGUGAAAUGCGUAGAGAUUUGGAGGAACACCAGUGGCGAAGGCGGCUUUCUGGUCUGUAACUGACGCUGAGGCGCGAAAGCGUGGGGAGCAAACAGGAUUAGAUACCCUGGUAGUCCACGCCGUAAACGAUGAGUGCUAAGUGUUAGGGGGUUUCCCGCCCCCCUUAGUGCUGCAGCUAACGCAUUAAGCACUCCGCCUGGGGUGUACGGCCGCAAGGCUG